GACGAACGCUGGCGGCGUGCUUAAUACAUGCAAGUCGAACGAAGUGGCGAACGGGUGAGUAAUACGUGAGUACCCUGCCCUCCUCUUCGGGAUAAGCCUUGGAAACGGGGUCUAAUACCGAAUAAAGGGGGAUGGGCUCGCGGCCUAUCAGCUCGUUGGUGGGGUGCUGGCCUACCAAGGGGGUGACGGGUAGCCGGCCUGAGUGGGUGACCGGCCACAUUGGGACUGGGAUACGGCCCAGACGCCUACGGGAGGCAGCAGUGGGGGAUAUUGCACAAUGGGCGAAAGCCUCAUGCAGCGACGCCGCGUGGGGGAUGAAGGCUUUCGGGUUGUAAACCUCUGUCGCUAUCGAACGGGUAGGUAGAGAAGAAGCGCCGGCUAACUACGUGCCAGCAGCCGCGGUAAUUC
rnacentral:rRNA from 1 species